rnacentral:rRNA from 1 species
UACGUAGGGUGCAAGCGUUGUCCGGAAUUAUUGGGCGUAAAGAGCUCGUAGGCGGUCUGUCGCGUCUGCUGUGAAAACCUCGGGCUCAACUCGGGGCUGGCAGUGGGUACGGGCGGGCUAGAGUGCAGUAGGGGAGACUGGAAUUCCUGGUGUAGCGGUGAAAUGCGCAGAUAUCAGGAGGAACACCGGUGGCGAAGGCGGGUCUCUGGGCUGUUACUGACGCUGAGGAGCGAAAGCGUGGGGAGCGAACAGG